AGUUUCCAGUAAGGAAAACAAACAAAACCUCACAGUUUGAGAAUACAGCCCAGACAUGCUGAAUGCUCAUAAAAGGGCAGAAUCCACAGAUCCAAUAGAAAAUGAACAGAAGAAAUUUUGGAAUUUGUCCUCAAGCAGAUACCGUGCCUGAAGCUGCCUGAACUCCCCAUGGCUGCUGCGUUUCCCAUGAACCAGGAAAACUUGGAUUGACUUCAGUCACAGCUUGCUUGAGCAAAGUGAAAUAAAAAACAUAAACUUCCAGAACUUCCAUGCAGGUGACCGCACAUGGAGAGAGAAGGGACUGUCCUGCGUACUACUGCUCCCAGAGAAUAGCUCUGGAAACUCCAUGCAGCACGAAAGCAAAUGAUGGAAGCUUGCAUUGCUUUUAUAUCUCAGAAACACUGGCUUGUGCGACCUCCUGCCGGCAGUGCAGCUGGUCACUCUGAUGGAGCAUAUGGAAGCACCAGCAUAGAGAAAACAAACCCCAGCCCCGGAGCAGAAGAUAAGCAGCAGAAUGCCCUUGCACCUUCUGAUUCAUACAGCUUAGGUUACAUCUCAAGCGACCCAAGGCCAGGGAAAUUGAAUUCUGUCGGAUAGCAGCAUUCUUUCGUCUUGCCUUCCAACCUCUAACCAGCCCUGAAAAUGCAUGGGAUGAAGGAUGCGAUGGAAAAACAUUCAUCACCGUGUUGACCACUGAUCAAAAGCACUUAGCUGGGAAGUGCAGGAUCUGCCAUCAUCUUUUAUUUUCUAUAGUCACAAAGCAGAGUAGCUGAUCUGACAUCUGUAAAAAAAUAAUAAUAAUAAAAAAGUGAAAACCUCAAUCAAAGAGCAAUUCUCAAAUGGAAAGCCGAUAUGUUAGGCUAUCAAAGAGGGUCAACAGCUUUUUAGUUCUUUCGAGUCAUUAUAAUACUUCUAGAGCUCCUUGUAUUGAAAAGGGACAAAGUACACAGUAACCUGAACCUUUUGGCCCCAAAUUCAAACUAAGUCUCAUCCCAGAAACUUUUAGUAGUAUGAAAUAGCUUGUCUGGCUUUCUGCCUUAGUAAUUCACAUUCUUCUGCAUAUUUUUGUUUUUCUUUUUGGCUUGGAACUGCUGAGAGAAGUUCUUCUUAUGGCAUGUUCGAUCUGGAUAAAAGUACAAAUCAUUUGGAAAAUCCAGUUUUAUGAGCUUUCCAGAGUAUUUGAUGGAUCACAGAGGUUUCAUUUCAUCCAGUCUGUUAUACCAGCAGGGCUCAGAUGAUGCUCAGUUCAUUCUCUUGCUUCAUGAACUCGUAGGACUAUCUUCAGCCAUCUGCAGAAGCUGUCUUAGCUCUGACUGGAGGUAACUCUACAGAGGGCAGAGAGGGCACUUGCUUCUUUCCAUCACUUUAAACUGCUUCUUUUUCUUCAGCUUUACAGUAAGUCUAUGUGACUUCUGAAAAAAAAAAAAAAUACAGAAAAGUUCUGCCCAUGCUUAUAGCAGAUGAGAGUCAGCUCUGAAAUAGAACAUACCGAUUGUCAGGACCACAUUAUUAGCCUGCACUCAGGCCAAUAAGCACUACUCAGUUUUUAACCCAUAUUAAUGAAAGUGGCAUUCCGGAUGCCUACUUCAGUGUAACACCUCUUUAAAGUAAAAUAAAGCUGUUUGCAACCACACUGGUUAUUCUGUGCCCAGUUCUGGGCACACCGUGAAAUUUUCCAAACCAUCUGGUGGGCUUCAUCUAAGCUUGAUGUAAGAGUAGGGCAUUGUCAUAUGAGUGCUUGCAAUAUAUUUUGAGCCAUUUAAGAAGCUACCUGCUCGCAACUCCAAAUUGUGGCUGCCUUAGCUGGGACAUUGUCUCUGACAUCCAUUUUGGUGCAAAGUAUGACAGAUUGACUUAAAUUGCCUGUUAAAAUUCCCUGUCUAGAAGUAACCAAAUAUACUGCAGAUAUUUCAAGGUAUUUUGAUGCCAAAAGAAGCAGAUAGGCACUAGUCAGCAUUUCAAAGUCUGGAAGUACUAAUUUGCAUCCUAGAUAUCCAAUUUCCUUUCCAGAUGUGGCUUGCAGAUGCAGGGGUAUGCAGGCAUCUGACCUUACAAAGACACCUAAACACAAAAUGAUUUUAAUGGGAAUUCAGGCACUUGGUAUGGGGCUUCGUUUUACAUUUCUUCAAACAUCUGAAAUUUAAAUGUAUUUUCGUAGCUAUUUCUGAAGAGACUCUUUACAGUUACUGAAGAGAUUUAUAGUUAUUAUGCUGUAUAGUUAUAUAUGAUAUCCCCCAUGCUGUGUAGGAGUUAAGUGCCUUGAUACCUUUGCAUGUAUGUCCCUAAAGGUUUACGUCUCUUCUGGAAAUAGGACAUAGGCAUCUAUGUUACCUAACCUUAUGUAUGUAUUUUCUGAGGGUGCCAAACUAAAGCAAAGCUUAACAUGAGAACAAAGCCCUAACAUGAAACUGUAAGAAGAAUUAUCAUCCCCCCCAGCAUGAAGAUGCUGAAUUUCCAGUUGAAACAUCAGCUUUAUGCUGAGUUACUAGCAUUGUCUUUUUGUUUUAUGGAUAGCCUUACUUGCUUAACAGAAUAAAGGAAGAUAAAGUACUUGCAUGGAUAUGUAUUCACUGCUGUUCUGUUGGUAGUGAUUUGAAACCUUUCACUCCUGUGAUGUUAAUGUCACUUUUAAUAUUGCAAAUUCGCUAAGAUGCCAAGCGAACAGCAUUUAAAUAAUAUCUUUACAGGACUGAUGUGUUUUUCGGUGAGAAUAGUAGUGUUUUUUUUACUAGCAUCCUUGCAAAGUAUGUAGUCUGCAUCCUCCUGCUUUAAUUCCUGAUAUAAAUGUAAAUGGUAAUUUUAACAUUUUAGAUACUAACUUGAUUUCAUCUGAUUUUGGCAAGACACGUGCCAUGUAUUUUACAAUUUAAAAAUCAGGUUUGAAAAUGUCAGCUUUCAUGAGCAGGCGGGCUGUGUCAUUUACAGCACACCGAAGGCACGUGGCAGAUAAGGCAAAGUGGGGCUAAGGAGGCUUUUAGAGAUGAUUUGCAUAAGAGAAGGCUGCUGGGAGGGAAUGGCUAAACUAUUGGGAAAAUGGUUGCCUCAGUAUGGAUGUCUAGAUGAAAUGCUGUUGGAUGGCUUCUGACACUACAACUGAAUUGCACCUUGGCUACUAGCUGUGAGGGACAUUUCAUAGCUGGAUGCAGCAGCUAGCAUUAAAGCCUGCAGGCCCUGCUCCUGUCUCCAGCAGUUCUUCACCCUCUCGGUGAAAAACCUUUCUCCAACACCCAGCCUGACCAUCCCAGCUCCAUGCCGUUCCCUCGGGUCCUGUCACUGUCCCCAAGGAGCAGAGCUCAGCUGCCUGCCCCUCCGCUCCCCUCAUGAGGGAGCUGCAGGCCGCCAUGAGGCCUCCCCUCAGCCUGCCCUGCUCAGGGCUGAACAAACCAAGGGGCCUGAGCUGCUCCUCACACAUUUUGCUCUCCAGACCCCCCACCAUCUUUAUUGCCCUCCUUUGGACUCUCUCUACCACCUUUAUGCCCUUAUGUAAGGGUGCCCAAACCUCCACACAGCUCUCAAGUUGAGGCCACACCAGCACAGAGUGGGACAAUGCCUUCCCUCAGCCAGCCAGCAGUGCCAUGCCUGAGGCACCCCAGGGUAUGGCUGGCCCUUUUGGCUGCCAGGGCACACUGCCAACCCAUAUUCAACUUGUCAUCAACCACAACCCCAGCUCCCUUUCUGUGGGGCUGCUCUCCAGCCUCUCAUUCCCCAGUCUGUCUGUACAGCCAGGUUUGCCCUCUCCCAGGUGAUGAGUCCAGCACUUGCUCUUGUUAAAAUUCAUGUGGUUGGUGACAUCCAAGCCCUCUUAUUUGCCUAGAGCUCUCUGGAAGGCUUCUCCACCCUUGAGAGAGUCAACAGCUCCUCCCAAUUUAGUGUCAUCCGCAAACUUAGUAUAUGUUUGAGUCCUGCAUUCAGGUCACUUAUGAAAACAUGAAAGAAAACUGGUCUUGAAAUGGAGCCCUGGGGAACCCCACAAGUGACUGCCACCAGUCUGAAGUAACCCCAUUCACUAUAACCCUUUGACCCGACCCGUCAGCCAAUUGUUCAUCCAUCACAUUAUGUAUUUAUUUAUGGAUGGGGAGGACAGUGUCAUGGUGAGAGUUUAAAGAGCUCUAACAGCUCUAGUUUAUUUGUUUGUGUUUCAAAGGAGUGGGAGAGCAUCCCUAAGGCCUUGGUGGGAUCAGGAAGCAUGGGUGGCACCAGGGUACCCAUCACCUCCUCCUCACAUCCUGCUGAUGCUGAACAGGUCGCUCAGUGAGUAAUUAACACCAAGAAAAGGACAAGGAAAGUUUCCAAGGGAUGCAAAAAGGCACAGAGAGCUCAUUUCUGAGUACAAGUGCAAAGUCUCCCUGUCAGACAGCCACUCCUGUGGACUUUUGGUGUACAGGCUUCUAAUUAAGAAACUAGAGGCCUGAAAUCACUUGCUUUUAUCCUGCAGUUUUUCUCUUGUGAGGAUCUCCUGGGGUUCGGUUAGUCAGCACAUUGAGGGGAUUAGAGAGCCCUGGGAGAUACCUUCAGAAAUACUAGGGAGCUAAUUAAAGCAGGCAAGGGGAGUUGGCCGGAGAAACAGUUUCACAAAUACACAGACAUUUAAAGGCACCGGCAGAAAAUGCAAGACAAGGAGAAAGAUGGAGCUUUAAAGAGAGGCAAACGGAAGAGACAGAGACAGAGAGACCACCUGCAAGCAGCAAGAAUUAUUAGCAACUUUUUUCUUCACCAGCAGCCACGUUUUCCCUCUAGAUUUUGCCCACAGGGACAGCACUGUGGCCAUUAUGGAAAUAUUUCCUAAAACAACAG